rnacentral:rRNA from 1 species
GUGAGGAAUAUUGGUCAAUGGGCGGGAGCCUGAACCAGCCAAGUCGCGUGAAGGAAGAAGGAUCUAUGGUUCGUAAACUUCUUUUGCAGGGGAAUAAAGUGCAGGACGUGUCCUGUUUUGUAUGUACCCUGAGAAUAAGGAUCGGCUAACUCCGUGCCAGCAGCCGCGGUAAUACGGAGGAUCCGAGCGUUAUCCGGAUUUAUUGGGUUUAAAGGGUGCGUAGGUGGUUUGAUAAGUCAGCGGUGAAAGUUUGCAGCUUAACUGUAAAAAUGCCGUUGAAACUGUUGGACUUGAGUGUAAAUGAGGUAGGCUGAAUGCGUGGUGUAGCAGUGAAAUGCAUAGAUAUCACGCAGAACUCCGAUUGCGAAGGCAGCUUACUAAGCUACAACUGACACUGAAGCACUAAAGCGUGGGGAUCAAACAGGAUUAGAAACCCCAGUAGUCC